GAAGGAUGACCAGUGGAACUGUGCCGUGCCUCGAAGGAGGUAAGGGCUUGAGCGGGUCAAGUGAACCCUCACUCAACUUGAGAGCGUUCACCCUUGUGCUAGGCUCUCCUGCAGGUCUAUUCAGACUGCCCUCUCUUUGCUGAAGCUUUAGGGCUCUGCCUGCAUGAUGUUGGCUAGGUGAAAACUCUGCUUCUUCAAAGAAUUCAAAACUGCUGAGAUCACACCAUGAUGAAGAAUCCUGAAACAAUGUGGGAGGCACAGAACUCUGAGACGGUGUGUGCAUGAUAUGUGCCAUCACCUGAAACACAGUACUGAGAAAGAACACCGAAUGCAGAGAAAACACCUGGCCCUCUUGAGAAAUAGCGUCAGGAUUAACAACUGUUCCAGCACACCGCACGGCAGGUCUACCAUGCGGCCUCCAGGCUGGUCCUACGUGUGUGCUGCGGGGACCUCCGGGUAUUCUCUCAUUUGCAUGCAAUCCGAAGCAAAGAGAAAACCUUUUCUAGAUGGCACAUUUUGGCAACGUUCAUCCCGUUUGAUGGAUAUGCAGGUAAGUGCUUUUUAACCAACUGGCAACAAAGGAAAUGAACUGAACAUUUGCUUUUUAGGUGCCAACCUCACGUUUGUUUCACUAAAGAUGGUUUAUCUCAGUGAACCAGUGGGGCUGGUAAUCAAUCAUCAAUGUUUUGUGAAGAGAGCCAGGUACCAGCAAUGAACUCGCUACCACUCAAAUACACGGAACGACUGCUUAAAGGUCUAAGUAAACAUAAUUCUUAAUGUGCGAUCCAAAAGCAAAGCACAAUUCUAGGGGCGCCUGGGUGGCUCAUUCGGUUAAGCAUCCGACUCUUGGUUUUGGCUCAGGUCAUGAUCUCAUGGUUCGUGAGUCCAAGCCCUGCAUCGGGUUCUGUGCUGACAGCAUGGAGUCUGCUUGGGACUCUCUCUUUUCCUCUCUCUCUCUCUGCCCCUCCCCUGCUCUCUCUCUCUCUCUCAAAAUAAACAAAUCAACUUCAAAAAAUUAGAAAACAAAACUUAAAAACAAAAGCAAAGCACAAUUCUAAAGAAACACAAAAAAGUAACAAAUACGUUAAAAAUAACUCAAACAGUACUCCAUAACCCGAGAUCUACUUAUAGGUCAUCAACUUUACUAUUUUAAAAAGUAUGCAUUUUGAAGGAAAUGCGUGAAAAGCCACCUUUUAUCUGCAUAGCCUAUGAAAUCAGAUCUUUGAAAAAACAGACACAAAGGCUAAAAUCAUACUUUUACAUUCAUACAUGCUAAUAACAUGUUAUUUGCCAUAGAAAAUGGUAAUAAUUUGAGAACUGGGUUUCCUAAUUCACCAUCAAAAACAUUCACUUGCCUUAACAAUUCUACUUACAGAAUCUAUAAAUUGAAGUGUUUCUGCAAAUUCUAAGAGGUUCUUAACAUUAUCCAGAAUGGUGCCUUGGUGGACGAUCAUGCACCUUGCUGGAGAGGCACUUUCUUCAGGUAGGGAGCCAGGAUCCACAGGCAGAGAGGGAGUGGAGUGGUGUUCUUCCAAACAGGAAACAGGUGCACUGUCUCCAUGAGGUCUGGUGUGGUCAGCGAUGGUGGUGCUGUGCCACCCGGGGUAGCUGCAUGUGUGGUUCUGCGUCUAAGGAGGGGGAGGAGGGUGGGGGAAUAAAGAAAGAGUAGGGAGAAGAAAGGGAGAAGGAACUUAGCAAUGAAGUUGCACAAGGUAUCAGAUGCUGUUGGAGGAAAGAUAAAAGUAGUUGCAUCAUCCAAAACUUGCGCCUAUGAAACAGUCGUCAAGAUGUUUCCUUUUAUCGAUGCAAGACCCUGCUUUUUAAUAGUGGCAUAGUCUGUCACCUAUAUGAACACCCUCACUGUCAUCAUUUUGCUAAAACUGCCAACAGAGAGACUGUGUCCUCAAGUGCCACUCUCCCAUGGUCCAUCUUAAAAGUCUACUUUAACAUCAUCUCCAAAAGGACCACGCAUGGUUGCUGUGAACUAAGAAUUGUCCUGUUCUCAUUCUAACCUACAAAAAGGCCAGAGGACUCGAGAGUUAGAGUUGCUUUUGUCUGCAUAUGUUCUCAUUGCUUCUAUCCCUUUUUAAUGUUACGGAUUGCACUGAUGCAGUGAAGGGCUGUCAAAUCAACGUGGUUAGGAAAGCAGAAGGGCAAAUUAACAGAAGUCUCCUUUCGGCAUGACCAUGCAACAAGAGAAAUUGCAAAACAUGAACUAGAGUUAAAAAGUGGUCGAACUAACAUAUGCACAUAAUCAUCUUAUGAUUUAGCCCCAAAGACAUGUAUUCCUAAGAAUACCCACUGGGUAUCACAUCUCUUUUAUUCUCUUUGUUGCUGAACUAACUCUGUCACAAAGUACACGCUGAUUUCUCAGUUUGCAGCCAAUCACCGAAAAGAUGUCAAAAUUCAGUAAUGGUCCACACGGCUUUCAUGCAUGCAAACAGAAGAGAGCAGCCGUGUUAUAGACAGAGAGAGGAUGUGUAUCUCUUUCACAGGUAUAUACUGAACAUGCUUCAAAUCAUAUGUGAAAUUAGCAAGUAUGAAAAUGUAGGUUAAGAAAAAUAAUAAAAGAAAAAAUCAAAUGAGUAGGUAUCAUACAGAUACAUAACUUUGUAAAUAAAAGCAGAUUUUCAUUCAUUUAUAUCUGUUAGUCGGUCUUUGAAUUAGUAACAGUCCUGGAAAAACAGGAAGAUUGAUGGUGACAAUCACAAGUGGAUAUUGUGUUUGUAUUGCCACUCAAAAGGGCUACUUUUAAUUUAGUCAACACACAUGGUGAUACCGACUGCAUUUUAUUACAAGCAACUUCUGUUCAAACAGUGUUAAUGAAUGGGCAUCUAGGCAGCUCAGUGGGUUAAGCCUCUGACUUCAGCUCAGGUCAUGAUCUAGUGGUUCGUGAGUUCCAGCCCCAUGUUGGGUUCUGUGUUGACAACUCAGAACCUGGAGCCUGCUUCAGGUUCUGUGUCUCUUUCUUUCUCCCUGCCCCUCCUCCACUCACUCUCUGUCUCUCUCUCAAAAAUAAAUAAACAUUAAAAAUUUUUUUUGAAACACUAUUAAUGGAUCUACAGUCUUGAUUAGUGUAACACUCAGAAGAGAAGGGAAAAGAGACAGGAGGGCACCGGGGUGAAGUUCUCCCCACAUUCAAGCACCUGGUUGCCUUCUUACCGGUAGCGCCUGCUGUCCUUUGAGCUCAUUCUCAGUCGACAUUAGGAGCAAUUCUAAUUCCUUUAUUCGCUUUUCUUUCUCAGGGUCUUCAUCAUUAUAGUGUCUCUGAAAUUAAAAGUAAAGGAAGAAAAACAGAGAAGGGCCUGAUUGAAGCUACUGCAGAUACAAUGGCUGUGGCCUGCAAUCAUGAGGGGCCAUACAGCCCAGUGAGCCUCAGCGUGAGACUGGCACCAACGAAAUGUGGCACAAAGCUCUGUGAGUGUCAUUCCACACCUAAGGGAGUGAUGUGAAAUCUGAGGCUCAAGUGGGUGCUGACUGAUGAGCUGGUUCAACUUAUGACAUCAGAGAAUCAGAGAAUUCCUGAGCAGGUUUAACUCUAGAAGUGAAGAUUGGUAGCUUGCUGGCCAGAACUCUACCCACCCCUCUGCUACUCCCUUUUUUUUUUUUUUACAUCAGUCAGUCGAGCGAAAAUAAGUAUUUACAUGAAAGAAAUAAAGCAUGUCUUGAAAAAGUUGCUUUGAACAGCCAACGGGUUUCUUUACGAAAUGGUCUUCACAUGAUCUUACCUGAAUGGCUGCAGCAGCUGGCUGAGGGACAUUGACUAUAUUUACAUGUAACGCUACAGGAUAUGGGACAUGACCGGAGACCUAGAUCAAAAAGGCAGACAAACAAAGGCCGAGUCAUUCAUGGUCACACACGCUUCAGGGGAAUUGGCUUCCUCUAGGAUUGAGAAAAAAAAUACUGUACUAAUAAAAUUCACACAUGCACAGAGGAAAAAAGAAACACAACAAAAAACCCUCUAGUUUGAAAUUUUAGCCAGGCCUUUAAAAAUAGCCAAAUAAAUAGCUUACGCAACGUAAAGAGAUUUGGAGUGCUCGUUGAUCUUGACAAAAAGCAUCCCUUAAUUAGAGAAUAACACAAUGAAAAAUAUAACCUAAAAUAUAUUCAUGAAGCUAUGAAAGAAGCUGUAAUGGGAAAAACUGAUGACUUAGUUGUUUAUAAUAGAAAUAUUUUUCUUGGAAUAACUAUUAGUUAUAGUAAAGAGCACAGAACUGCCUAUGAUGGUUCACUCAUCUGAGACUUUUCUGGAAAGUCUGUAGUCAAAUGAAUGAUAGAACAGACAGAGAAGAAUAAAAACUAUUCAGGAAUAUGAUUUGAAUAUAACUUGCACACGGGCUCCAUAUUCUUGGCUAAGUUUCACCAUCUAUUACUGUUAGUUGUAAGAUUCAAGUUCACUGAUUUUAUUCUUUAUGCUUCGUAUUUUUCUUUCCCCACCCAUUCUGGACAUUUCUUUCCCUAAAUAUAAAUGUCUGGCAAUCAGGAAGGCAUCACACUGAUCCAAAGGAGGACGAAAGAAGACAUCAGAGAGUGGUGUCACAGAACUGCACCUGACUCGGAGUGAGAAGGUAAACACACGUGGAAGGAGCAAAUUAAGACUUUUCUCCUAGAUAGAUCACUACCAGAAUCAAACUUUACAGAAUCAAACUUGCCGCAUUUCAGUGUCAAAGGAUCUCUGCUUUAAAUUUAAUAUGACAUUCACUUUUCAUUUUGGAAGAGAAAAACAAAAGCCCACAAAUGCAUCUUCAUGACCCCAUUCUUCUCCGGCAGGAACUUGUUAAGUGGAUUUACAUUCAAAAGCUAAUCUGAUCUGAAGCACUUCAGUUGGAAUCCAAAAGCCUGGACUGCAGGCUGCCCUACGAGCUGUGCACCUCUGCAGAUUACUUAACAUCCUGGCUUCCCAGCAUACACCAGGGGUAAGGAUACCUCCCCCUAUCUACCUCGAGGCUCUGAAGUGGGGUGAUCACCUUUGUGGAAGGUCUUUGAAAAGUCAGCGGCUGCGAGGUAUUACUGUUACCUGGGGCUAACAUAACCAUCUCUUUCAGUAAACUAAAUUCUCAGAAAUGGCUUACGUUUUGCGCUUCAGAAAUGUGGUAAUAGGAAUAAUCAUUGUUAACUGAAGUCUGGCCAGCUGGAGGGAGAUGAGCUGAAGGUGGGGCAUGAGCAAAACCCAUCAAAUGACUGUUCUUCUGAAAACUUGUGGCCACUGUUGGCGGGCUGGCUUUAGAAGACUCUUGCAGAUAACCUUCCUGCUCGACCUUCCGACGCAUUGUAGAAUUCCAGUGGUUCUUGAUAGCAUUAUCAGUUCUGCACAGAAAUAUAUCAUGUAAGAAUUUUACAAAAAAACAUUUUAAUUCAGAUUAGAGUUAAUUGACAGAAAACUGUUUCCCACAGAGACGUCUUCUUUGGGUCUUUUGUUUUUUGUGUUUUCUUUUAAAUUGUUUUAGUCUUCCCGACCUCUGAAAGUCAUGCUGCCUCUAUUAUCUAAUUGAAAAUCCAUAGAUUUUCCUUCAUUACACAAGAUGGAAUAAAUGUGGCUUUCGAGAAAUCUUUAAAUUUUGUAACUAUUUUGUUUCCUUGAUAAAAGAGAAUUUUCGAUACAAACCCUUCCUGUUUAUUCUGAGUGUUCACGGUACAAGACUCUAAUACAACUUAAAGAUCCAACUAUUCUGGAAAAUUACCGGCUUAGUAGGGCCUACACACCCCAACAGGCACACAGUAAAGUUUGGUGAAUGAUAAUGAUGUCGCCACUGCCUCACUGUCCACUCUUUGUCUCGAAUAGCACUAGCCAGAAAUUUUGAGUAAAAAAAAAAAAAAAAAAAAGGGAAAAAGAAAAAAAGAAACUCCCACCUUUUGACGGCCAUCUCAAAUUGUUCUAUAACCAGAGGUGACAAUGGAAAAUGGGAUCCAGAAGGGGAAAGAUGCUACAUCCCCAUAUCAGUUCAAACUGAAAAGCAUUUUCACUAAAGUCUUACAGUUCUCAGGAAAAGUUUCUCAAUUCAAAAAAAAAAAAACGUUUUAGGCCUCCCUUUUACUAUUUUGAUGGGGGUGGGGGCAUGUAUGCUAAAGAAAGAGGAAGUUCAGUUGCCCCUUAAAUUUUUACAAGAAUCAACAGCAUAUUCUCAGGCCAGAUGGGAGAAAAGACCUUCUUUCCUCAAUAUCUUGGAUCCUGUAAGCUGAUAGGGAGCCAUGAGGGAGGCGGUGCUCUGGACCAUCACCCAAGAAUGCUACAUAAACCAUCAGAGCCAUGGCCUUCUUUGAAGGUCCCUUUCUCCAAUUCUGCUGCCUAAGAAUAUAAUUUAUUAAAUAUUUUCUUACAUUGUUUAUAUAAGAUUUAUAAUGAAGAGUAUCUUCCAAAUUAAAGAAAAUGUGUCAUAAACUGUUCAAGUGGGGAGAGUGCGACAAAAAUGAGCUUCUAGAGAUAUCCUUCACGAUGAGGUCAUUUUUUGUGCCUUGUUCAUUAAAAGAAAGCAUAACACUGACAUUGUUUAAAAACCUGGAAGCAGUAGGAUAAUUCUAGAAAUACUCUUAUUUCUUUCUUUAAAAGAAAAAAACUAAGCCAAGUGGUAUAAUGAAAUGAAUGUUGGUAUCAGGAAAAUGAUAGCUGAGAUCCUUCUGGUCACUUAACCAGCUGUAUGAACUCAGACCAGAGGCAAAAUGUCUACCCUCAGUUUGCUUCUCUGUGUUUAGAGUUCUAUAGUUUACGAAGUGCUUUGACAAUCAUUUUAUUCGAUACAAACAUUGGCCCUGUGAAGUAGGCUAUUAUUUAUUUUGCAAAUGGGGCAACUGAAGCUGAGGAGAGUUCAAUGACUCGGCCCAAAGUUCACUGUUGGAUGGAUUCUGGAAGUUCCCAACCAGAUAAACUCUAAGAGCUCCUCCAGUUUUAAAACCUAUGGAUCUGGCAUAUCUAAUGAAACACUUACAAUCAUGGGAAUGUAAUUCACUCGCUAUACAUUUAAAACAAAAUGUUCAAUACCCACUCCCUCAUUCUUCCCAAUCAAUAUAUUUUUUGACAUAUUAUUACCGUCCAGGCAGUAGCUUUGCGAUUUCUGCCCAUCUGUUCCCCAGUCUCUUGUGUGCCUGGUAAAUAAUUCUGUCUUCCUCUUCUGUCCAGGAGGUUUUCUUAACUUCUGGAUUCAAAUGGUUAUGCCACCUCUCCCUACAUUGUUUUCCAAUUCUCCCUUUUAAGUGCUUGGCAAUAACAGACCAACGUUUCGGACCGUAUUUCUGUACAAGCUCUAUCACCUUCAGAUAAACACACAAAAAUAACCUAUGUUUUAAUGUUAUGUAAUGACUCAGUGUAAUCAUUCUUCAGUGUUACAAGAUCUUUAGAAAGGGUCUAAAACUCUGCUUUCAUUCAUUGGAAAUAUGGGAAUAGAGUCCUCUGCUUCCUGUUUGUACACUUUACCUGUUUCUUCAAGUUGGGAAACAUUUAAUUAAGAUGUCUGGGGAAUAUUCUUAACUGUGAUUCGCACACCAAUGAGGAAAGAACUUACUCUCUGAUCUUCUUCUUUGGUCCAAGGCCCCUUGAUGAGCUCAGGGUUUAGUACUUUCUGCCAUCGGUGCUGGCACUGCACAUCUGUUCGAUUCUAGACAAAUAAUAAAGUAUGCACUGUCAUAUAGAUAUGAUGCGAUAAGCACAUGAAGACUUGGUUAUUGUAUGAAUCAUACACAGACAAUAUACAGGAAACACGUUCAGGAACAUUUUAGGGCAUGUUUGGAGAGCCUAUCUAUCCCUCAUUGCUUACAGCUAACAAACAUACAAAGAAUAUAUCAAAAUUGGAUCUAAAAUUAGAAGCUCUACCUGUUAAGUGAAAUAAUCCUGCCAUGCGAACUGAAGGACCCUCAUAUUGUACACAUGGCUGUCGAUUUAACUCAACCUUAACUUCAGCAUGUGGAAGUGCCUCUAUGAACUAAGACUUGUUAGCGAUUCCACAUGAAGGUUGGGCUUCCAUGGAAACCUACUCUAAAUGAUUAAAGUUUGCCUCCCAUUCAACCUAAGAGAUGCACUUCAGUUUAGGGCCUCAAGUAUUAAUACUGCAGAACAAAAAUCAAUAAAGAUAGGAUGAGAGAGUAUAAUCUUAUUAAGAGAGUAUAAUCUUAUAAGAAAAAAAAAAGACAGAUAUGUAACUAACUAAUAGAAGGCAGAAUUUGAUUCAUAUGCAAGAAGAAACCAAAGCAAAAUUAUAUUGGGCUGAGAGCAGAAGCUUUUCCUCAGGAGCAGAAAUUAUGUUUCCUUAGGAGGUGUCUGCAAAAGCUCUUGAUAGGGACUUUGAAGGAUGGAUGGAACAUUCUAGGAGGUGGCAUCACCAAGGACAAAAGCCCAAAGGAGGUAAAGCAGAAAUUAAUUCAACCAAACCUGCUGACAGAGAGGAAGUAGGAAAGUGAACCGGAGCUGUAUGCUGGAGCCGUGUGGAAG
rnacentral:lncRNA from 1 species